UACAGAGGUCUCGAGCGUUAAUCGGAUUCAUUGGGCUUAAAGCGUACGUAGGCGGAUGUGCAGGCAUCGUGUGAAAUCCCCUGGCUCAACCAGGGAACUGCUCGGUGAACCGCACGUCUGAGGCAAGUAGAGGCUGUCGGAACGAUAGGUGGAGCGGUGAAAUGCGUAGAUAUCUAUCGGAACGCCGAAGGUGAAAACAGGGCAGCUGGGCUUGAUCUGACGCUGAGGUACGAAAGCGUGGGGGAGCGAACGGG
rnacentral:rRNA from 1 species